CAUCCCAAUAUUUAUUUUUAAAGGCAUACAAAAUGACUGCUGUCUCGGAUUUUUCCCAGCUUGCAAUGCGGUCGAGACCUGACUCACUAGUCAGCUGAUGACAGGGAGCCUGUCUGCUUCAAUGGGUGGAGAGAGCAAUCUGCAAGUAAUGCAACAGCUGGAGGCACCCUGAUUGAAAACCACAGGACUGCUGUACCUUUAAGAGAGACCUGCAGAGGAGUCACGUGAUCAGCUGUGGCUAAUAGGGAUCUCCUGUCCCUGGGGAUAGAAACACAUUUUCCCCUUAGACCCACCAGACACAGGGGCCGCCGCCACCCACGGUCCUGUAAAUUCAAAGGCCCAAAAGGAACCGAGAGCAACCCAGCGGAAAUUCCCUUCAAAAAGAGAUAGAACAACCCAAUACGGAUGCUUUUGUAACACCUUAAACACCAUAGGGUCAUCAAGCUGUCUCCGAGCUUCUUUCAAAUACAUGCUCUUGUCCAUGACCACAACCCCACCACCAAAAUCCUUCUGGGAAAACAUCUUGUGGACAGAUAAGACCAAGAUAGAGCUUUUUGGUAAAGCACAUCAUUCUACUGUUUACCGUAAACGAAAUGAGGCCUACAAAGAAAAGAACACAGUACCUACAGUGAAAUAUGGUGGAGGCUCUGGUGAUGUUCUGGGGUCGUUUUGCUGCCUCUGGCACUGGGUGCCUUGAAUGUGUACAAGACAUCAUGAAAUCUGAGGAUUAUCAACGGAUUUUGGAUCACACUGUACAGCCCAGUGUCAGAAAGCUGGGUUUGUGUCUGAGAUCUUGGGUCUUCCAGCAGGACAAUGACCCCAUACAUACGUCAAAAAGCCCCAGAAAUGGAUGGCAACAAAGCGCUGGAGAGUUCUGAAGUGGCAGCAAUGAGUCCAGAUCUAAAUCCCAUUGAUCACCUGUGGAGAGAUCUGAAAAUUGCUGUUGGGAAAAGGCGCCUUCCAAUAAGAGAGACCUAGAGCAGUUUGUAAAGGAAGAGUGGCUUUUUUUCUUCCAUUUUUUGGUUUUGUUCAA